UACGGCCACGUCACCUUAAAACACCGGUCCCCAUAAGAUAACCGAAGUUAAGCAACGUCGAGUCCCGUCAGUACCUAGAUGGGUGACCGCAUGGGUAUAUCAGGUACUGUAA